rnacentral:rRNA from 1 species
CCCUUAGAUGUCCUGGGCCGCACGCGUGCUACACUGACGCAUACAGCGAGUACUCCCGGCUCCGCAAUGGCAGCUGGUAAUCAUCAAUAUGCGUCGUGAUGGGGAUAGAUCUCUGGAAUUUUUGAUCUUGAACGAGGAAUGCCUAGUAAGCGCAGGUCAUCAGCCUGCGUUGGUUAAGUCCCUGCCCUUUGUACACACCGCCCGUCGCUCCUACCGAUUUCGAGUGGUCCGGUGAACCUUUCGGACCGGGAGCAGCCUCGUGCUGCGCCUGGAAAGUCAAGUAAACCACAUCACUUAGAGGAAGGAGAAGUCGUAACA